UGGAGCGUGUGGUUUAAUUCGAUGCUACACGAAGAACCUUACCAGGGUUUGACAUGCAAGUGGUAGGAAACCGAAAGGCGACCGACCCUUCGGGGAGCUUGCACAGGUGCUGCAUGGCUGUCGUCAGCUCGUGUCGUGAGAUGUUCGGUUAAGUCCGCUAACGAGCGCAACCCUCGCUGUGUGUUAUAUGUGUCACACGGGACUGCCGGUCUUAAGCCGGAGGAAGGUGAGGAUGAUGUCGAGUCAGCAUGGCCUUUAUAUCUUGGGCA
rnacentral:rRNA from 1 species